rnacentral:SRP_RNA from 1 species
GCCGGGUCCGGUGGCGCGUGCCUGUAAUCCAAGCUACUGGGAGGCUGAGGCUGGCGGAUCGUUUGAGCUCAGGGGUUCUGGGCUGCAGUGGGCUAUGCCGAUCGGGUGUCCGCACUAAGUUCGGUAUCGAUAUGGUGCUCCUGAGGGAGCUCGGGACCACCAGGUCGCCUAAGGAGGGGUGAACCGGCCCAGGUCGGGAACGGAGCAGGUCAAAGCCCCCGUGCCGAUCAGUAGUGGGAUCGCGCCUGUGAAUAGACACUGCCGUGCAGCCUGAGUAAUACAGCGGGACUCAGUCUUU